rnacentral:lncRNA from 1 species
CCUAACCCUCAGCCAUUGCAGUACAUUGAGCUCCAUAGAGACAGCGCCGGGGCAAGCGAGAGCCGGACGGGCACUGGGCGACUCUGUGCCUCGCGGAGGAAAAUCAACUAAACAUGGGCAAAGGAGAUCCUAAGAAGCCGAGAGGCAAAAUGUCCUCAUAUGCAUUCUUUGUGCAAACCUGCCGGGAGGAGCACAAGAAGAAGCACCCGGAUGCUUCUGUCAACUUCUCAGAGUUCUCCAAGAAGUGCUCAGAGAGGUGGAAGACCAUGUCUGCUAAAGAAAAGGGGAAAUUUGAAGAUAUGGCAAAGGCUGACAAGGCUCGUUAUGAAAGAGAAAUGAAAACCUACAUCCCCCCCAAAGGGGAGACCAAAAAGAAGUUCAAGGACCCCAAUGCCCCCAAGAGGCCUCCUUCGGCCUUCUUCUUGUUCUGUUCUGAGUACCGCCCAAAAAUCAAAGGCGAGCAUCCUGGCUUAUCCAUUGGUGAUGUUGCGAAGAAACUAGGAGAGAUGUGGAACAACACUGCUGCGGAUGACAAGCAGCCCUAUGAAAAGAAGGCCGCCAAGCUGAAGGAGAAGUAUGAGAAGGAUAUUGCUGCCUACAGAGCUAAAGGAAAACCUGAUGCAGCGAAAAAGGGGGUGGUCAAGGCUGAGAAGAGCAAGAAAAAGAAGGAAGAGGAAGACGACGAGGAGGAUGAAGAGGAUGAGGAAGAGGAGGAAGAAGAGGAAGAGGAAGAAGAAGAAGAUGAUGAUGAAUAAGUUGGUUCUAGCGCAGUUUUUUUUCUUGUCUAUAAAGCAUUUAACCCCCCUGUACACAACUCACUCCUUUUAAAGAAAAAAAAUCGAAAUGUAAGGCUGUGUAAGAUUUGUUUUUAAACUGUAGAGUGUCUUUUUUUGUAUAGUUAACACACUACCGAAUGUGUCUUUAGCUAGCCCUGUCCUGGUGGUAUUUUCAAUAGCCACUAAUCUUGCCUGGUACAGUCUGGGGGUUGUAAAUUGGCAUGGAAAUUAAAGCAGGUUCUUGUUGGUGCACAGCACAAAUUAGUUAUAUAUGGGGACAGUAGUUUGGUUUUUGGUUUCUUUUUUUUGUUUGUUUUUGUUUUUUUUUUCUUUUGGUUUUUUUUCCAUCUUCAGUUGUCUCUGAUGCAGCUUAUACGAAGGUAAUUGUUGUUCUGUUAACUGAAUACCACUCUGUAAUUGCAAAAAAAUGGCGGCUGUUUUGUUGACAUUCUGAAUGCUUCUAAGUAAAUACAAUUUUUUUU